rnacentral:rRNA from 1 species
GACGAACGCUGGCGGCGUGCUUAACACAUGCAAGUCGAACGAUGAACCCGGAGCUUGCUCCGGCGGAUUAGUGGCGAACGGGUGAGUAACACGUGAGUAACCUGCCCUUGACUCUGGGAUAACUGCGGGAAACUGUAGCUAAUACCGGAUACGACCCUCGGCGGCAUCGCCAGGGGGUGGAAAGAAUUUCGGUCAAGGAUGGACUCGCGGCCUAUCAGCUAGUUGGUGAGGUAACGGCUCACCAAGGCGACGACGGGUAGCCGGCCGGAGAGGGGGACGGGCCACACUGGGACUGAGAAACGGCCCAGACUCCUGCGGGAGGCAGCAGUGGGGAAUAUUGCACAAUGGGCGCAAGCCUGAUGCAGCAACGCCGCGUGAGGGAUGACGGCCUUCGGGUUGUAAACCUCUUUUAGUAGGGAAGAAGCGAAAGUGACGGUACCUGCAGAAAAAGCACCGGCUAACUACGUGCCAGCCGCCGCCGUAA